GUUCAUUGAAGUUGUGUAGAACUUAAUAUGGAGCAAAAAUAAUUUACUGUAUACCCUGCUGUUGUUUAUCCUGUAGUUGCUCCAGAGGGAGCUGCUUCAGAAACAAAGCAGAGAUACAGAUUUCAAAGAAUAUCAAAUCAUUGAAAAAUAACCAGUAGACAGCCAAGAGGAAUACACUAAAGGAGGAAAACAUUUUUGAAAGGAAUUAUGCUAGAGAAAGUAAUCACAAAACAAAGACACAGUCUAGAGAAGCAGCCAGUCUUUUCUCUCCCACUAGAGAGGAACAUUCUGUGUUGUAUAUGUAUCCAGAGCUUUACAGUGAAUCUUAACACAGCUAACACAGCUUAAGAUUGAAUGAUUAAUUUAGGUAUCACUUGUUAUGUAGCAACACAUUAUAACAUGGCCUAAUUAUAACCUUGUAUAUGGCAAAGGCAGCAUUUUCAA
rnacentral:lncRNA from 1 species